UUUUAAAUUUAAGUUUGCCCAGAACAGUUGAUUAAACAGACAAACAAACCUUGAGGACAAACAACGGACCAUCGCAAUGCCAGGACAUUGCAUGAUGUCACAGAUCACAAAAUAAGGCCACAUCUGUUCGACGGUCAUUGGGGCGGAUAAGUUAAUGAAUGUGGGAAUGUAAUGAAUACGUAAUACAUGUGAAAAUAUAACCCAUUUAGGAACAACUGACCGGCGGAGCGUUCUCAGAGUUAUCUCGACGGUGCCCCGGCCUCGCCAAUGAAGAAUACCUCACUUAAAGGUGCAGCAGAACAGAAUUUCAGGGAGGUGCUGUGAUGAACGCCAUCUAUUCAGCUGGACGGGAAGCACACUAUUAUGUAUGGAUGACGUGACAGUAAGAAAUCUCACAAAAUUACCUCCCUUAAAAUAACAGUCACGCUUGAUCCCUCGUAGCUCGCUAGAAAGCCAUCUCAAGCCUCGGGAGAUCACGAGCCAGUUUUACAGUCGGCACGCUCUCUGUCCUUCCCACACCUUUCCAGAUCAGACAGGCCCACAUAACCAUUGCGUACGAACAACUACACAACGCUCAGUCAGAGUGGGAAAUACCACGAUAUUGCGUUCUCUCUGCAUCCAUUCUGCACUUGCGAACCGUAAGCUUAUAGAGGCUUUGAAUGCAUGUAACGACUCUGGGCAUGCUUCGGAUUUCCUAAGAAAAGAUACUGUGGGAUCAAAACCUUGGUGUCAUACUCUGAGCAACGAAGUCAAACAGCGCUGGCUGGUGACUGUUUUCCCCGCCUCGGAAUUGCAUUUUCCCACCGACAAAGUUCAGUUAUAACAGGCGAGGAAUCUUCGUACAUUUCGUUGGAUUAGGGUUGCUGCAUCAUUUCUGCGUUUUAGCCAGCCUCGGAUCAUACGUUGACAUUGAAUGAUUCUUUGAUAAUCUCUUUGAAACCUUUUCUGUUGCAUUUUUGC
rnacentral:lncRNA from 1 species